rnacentral:rRNA from 1 species
CCAGACUCCUACGGGAGGCAGCAGUGGGGGAUAUUGGACAAUGGGGGGAACCCUGAUCCAGCGACGCCGCGUGAGUGAAGAAGUAUCUCGGUAUGUAAAGCUCUAUCAGCAGGGAAGAAAGAAAUGACGGUACCUGAGUAAGAAGCCCCGGCUAACUACGUGCCAGCAGCCGCGGUAAUACGUAGGGGGCAAGCGUUAUCCGGAUUUACUGGGUGUAAAGGGAGCGUAGACGGCAGUGCAAGUCUGAAGUGAAAGCCCCGGGCUUAACCCGGGAACUGCUUUGGAAACUGUACGGCUGGAGUGCUGGAGAGGAAAGCGGAAUUCCUAGUGUAGCGGUGAAAUGCGUAGAUAUUAGGAGGAACACCAGUGGCGAAGGCGGCUUACUGGACAGUAACUGACGUUGAGGCUCGAAAGCGUGGGGAGCAAACAGGAUUGGAUACCCCUGUA